UACGUAGGGUGCAAGCGUUGUCCGGAAUUAUUGGGCGUAAAGAGCUCGUAGGCGGUCUGUCGCGUCUGCUGUGAAAACUCGGGGCUUAACCCCGGCCUGCAGUGGGUACGGGCAGACUAGAGUGCGGUAGGGGAGACUGGAAUUCCUGGUGUAGCGGUGAAAUGCGCAGAUAUCAGGAGGAACACCGGUGGCGAAGGCGGGGUCUCUGGGCCGUAACUGACGCUGAGGAGCGAAAGCAUGGGGAGCGAACAGG
rnacentral:rRNA from 1 species